rnacentral:rRNA from 1 species
ACUGUUGGCACGGGCGUAACCGAUGCGCGACCUUUAGUCGGUCGGUGAGUUUGACUGGGGUGAUACUUCUAUGAAACCGUGACGCAGUGAGCUCAGCGUGGACGGAAACCAAACAUAUUGCAAACGGGCAAAACAUUGCUCGAUCUCGAUUUUCAGUAUGGAUACGGACAUGAAAGCGUGGCCCAUCAAUCCUUUCCGAAGAGCGUCAGUCAAGCUAUGCGUCCACCGAGAGGUGUCUGAAAUGUUACCACAGGGACAACUGGCUUAUGGUAGUCAAGCGUUCACAGCGAAGUAGUUUUUGUUCCUUCGAUGUCGGCUCUUCUUAUCAUUGCGAAGCAGAAUUCGCAGAGCGUUGGGUUGUUCAUACACUAAUAGCGAAAAUGAGCCGGGUCUAGACAGUGGUGAGACAGGUAAGU